rnacentral:lncRNA from 1 species
GUGCUGGGAAGAUAAAGAACUCAUAGACCAGAUACUAGAAAUUAGUACACGCUGAAAGACAGCUCUCACAUAGGUGUAAGUAUGACGUCUUGGGCCUUUGAGGAUGGCUCGGCCAGUAAAGACACCUUCCGUGCAAACCUGGCAACCCAGAACCAUAGGUAGAAGAAGAAAACUGACUUCACAAAGUGUCCUCUAACCUUCAUGCAUGUGUUGUGGCCUGAGAGAGGGGGGGAGAGAGAGAGAUAGAGAGAGAGAGAGAGAGUCUACACAUGCAUACAGAGUAUUAAUAAAUUAAAAAAUUAAAAUGUAAAGUCUUAACUGCUUUGGUUACCUGGAAAUUGCAGUUUUUGUUUUUCUGUUUUGGGGUUUCUUUGAAGAGAGGUGUAAAUGUGUCACUGCCAGAUUUUUCUAAUGUGUCCACUUUGUUUCACUUCUUUUUAAACAAAUGCAGUUGGGAUAACGAAUCCAUUCUACUUGCACAGAGCUGGAUGGCCCGAGAAACAGGUCUCAUCAUUUAUGACUGUGUUACAAAUAUUUGUCAUUUUCAUUCCUCAUAUAUUAACUUUAAAAAUGGCUUUCUCCCAAACAGUAAUAUUUGCUUCCGAUGUGAGAAUAAAUUUUAACAAAUUUCAGAACUGCAUGGCAGCAACCGUAAUCUCAAAAACCAUUAUCACAGUGAAUCCAGAUACACCAGAAGCCAAUAUCCUACUGAAUUUUAUAAGAGAAAAUAAAGAGACAAGUAUAGCUGAUGAAAUUGACAGUUAUUUGAAAGAAUCUGUAAACU